UAAGCGACUAAGCGUACACGGUGGAUGCCUAGGCAGUCAGAGGCGAUGAAGGGCGUGCUAAUCUGCGAAAAGCGUCGGUAAGCUGAUAUGAAGCGUUAUAACCGACGAUACCCGAAUGGGGAAACCCAGUGCAAUACGUUGCACUAUCGUUAGAUGAAUACAUAGUCUAACGAGGCGAACCGGGGGAACUGAAACAUCUAAGUACCCCGAGGAAAAGAAAUCAACCGAGAUUCCCCCAGUAGCGGCGAGCGAACGGGGAGGAGCCCAGAGUCUGAAUCAGUUUGUGUGUUAGUGGAAGCGUCUGGAAAGUCGCACGGUACAGGGUGAUAGUCCCGUACACCAAAAUGCACAGGCUGUGAACUCGAUGAGUAGGGCGGGACACGUGACAUCCUGUCUGAAUAUGGGGGGACCAUCCUCCAAGGCUAAAUACUCCUGACUGACCGAUAGUGAACCAGUACCGUGAGGGAAAGGCGAAAAGAACCCCGGCGAGGGGAGUGAAAUAGAACCUGAAACCGUGUACGUACAAGCAGUGGGAGCACCUUCGUGGUGUGACUGCGUACCUUUUGUAUAAUGGGUCAGCGACUUAUAUUUUGUAGCAAGGUUAACCGAAUAGGGGAGCCGUAGGGAAACCGAGUCUUAACUGGGCGUCUAGUUGCAAGGUAUAGACCCGAAACCCGGUGAUCUAGCCAUGGGCAGGUUGAAGGUUGGGUAACACUAACUGGAGGACCGAACCGACUAAUGUUGAAAAAUUAGCGGAUGACUUGUGGCUGGGGGUGAAAGGCCAAUCAAACCGGGAGAUAGCUGGUUCUCCCCGAAAGCUAUUUAGGUAGCGCCUCGUGAACUCAUCUUCGGGGGUAGAGCACUGUUUCGGCUAGGGGGCCAUCCCGGCUUACCAAACCGAUGCAAACUCCGAAUACCGAAGAAUGUUAUCACGGGAGACACACGGCGGGUGCUAACGUCCGUCGUGAAGAGGGAAACAACCCAGACCGCCAGCUAAGGUCCCAAAGUCAUGGUUAAGUGGGAAACGAUGUGGGAAGGCACAGACAGCCAGGAUGUUGGCUUAGAAGCAGCCAUCAUUUAAAGAAAGCGUAAUAGCUCACUGGUCGAGUCGGCCUGCGCGGAAGAUGUAACGGGGCUAAACCAUGCACCGAAGCUGCGGCAGCGACACUUAGGUGUUGUUGGGUAGGGGAGCGUUCUGUAAGCCGUUGAAGGUGACCUGUGAGGGUUGCUGGAGGUAUCAGAAGUGCGAAUGCUGACAUAAGUAACGAUAAUGCGGGUGAAAAACCCGCACGCCGGAAGACCAAGGGUUCCUGUCCAACGUUAAUCGGGGCAGGGUGAGUCGACCCCUAAGGCGAGGCUGAAAAGCGUAGUCGAUGGGAAACAGGUUAAUAUUCCUGUACUUGGUGUUACUGCGAAGGGGGGACGGAGAAGGCUAGGCUGGCCGGGCGACGGUUGUCCCGGUUUAAGCGUGUAGGGGGAGUGACCAGGUAAAUCCGGUUGCUUAUCAACCCUGAGGCGUGAUGACGAUGCACCACGGUGCAGAAGCAGUUGAUGCCAUGCUUCCAGGAAAAGCCUCUAAGCAUCAGGUAACAUUAAAUCGUACCCCAAACCGACACAGGUGGUCAGGUAGAGAAUACUCAGGCGCUUGAGAGAACUCGGGUGAAGGAACUAGGCAAAAUGGUGCCGUAACUUCGGGAGAAGGCACGCUGGCGUUAGGUGAAAGGACUAGCUCCUGGAGCUGAAGCCAGUCGCAGAUACCAGCUGGCUGCAACUGUUUAAUAAAAACACAGCACUGUGCAAACACGAAAGUGGACGUAUACAGUGUGACGCCUGCCCGGUGCUGGAAGGUUAAUUGAUGGGGUCAGCCGCAAGGCGAAGCUCUUGAUCGAAGCCCCAGUAAACGGCGGCCGUAACUAUAACGGUCCUAAGGUAGCGAAAUUCCUUGUCGGGUAAGUUCCGACCUGCACGAAUGGCGUAAUGAUGGCCAGGCUGUCUCCACCCGAGACUCAGUGAAAUUGAACUCGCUGUGAAGAUGCAGUGUACCCGCGGCAAGACGGAAAGACCCCGUGAACCUUUACUAUAGCUUGACACUGAACAUUGAGCCUUGAUGUGUAGGAUAGGUGGGAGGCCUUGAAGUGUGGACGCCAGUCUGCAUGGAGCCAACCUUGAAAUACCACCCUUUAAUGUUUGAUGUUCUAACUCGGCCCCAUGAUCUGGGGUGAGGACAGUGUCUGGUGGGUAGUUUGACUGGGGCGGUCUCCUCCCAAAGAGUAACGGAGGAGCACGAAGGUUAGCUAAUCACGGUCGGACAUCGUGAGGUUAGUGCAAAGGCAUAAGCUAGCUUGACUGCGAGAGUGACGGCUCGAGCAGGUACGAAAGUAGGUCUUAGUGAUCCGGUGGUUCUGAAUGGAAGGGCCAUCGCUCAACGGAUAAAAGGUACUCCGGGGAUAACAGGCUGAUACCGCCCAAGAGUUCAUAUCGACGGCGGUGUUUGGCACCUCGAUGUCGGCUCAUCACAUCCUGGGGCUGAAGUAGGUCCCAAGGGUAUGGCUGUUCGCCAUUUAAAGUGGUACGCGAGCUGGGUUUAGAACGUCGUGAGACAGUUCGGUCCCUAUCUGCCGUGGGCGUUGGAAGAUUGAGAGGGGCUGCUCCUAGUACGAGAGGACCGGAGUGGACGAAUCACUGGUGUUCGGGUUGUCAUGCCAAUGGCAUUGCCCGGUAGCUAAAUUCGGAAGAGAUAACCGCUGAAAGCAUCUAAGCGGGAAACUUGCCUCGAGAUGAGUCUUCCCUGGGGCUUAAAGCCCCCUGAAGGAACGUUAAAGACUAUGACGUUGAUAGGCUGGGUGUGUAAGUGCAGCGAUGUAUUGAGCUAACCAGUACUAAUGAUCCGUGAGGCUUAACCU
rnacentral:rRNA from 1 species